rnacentral:rRNA from 1 species
CCUACGGGCUGCAGCAGUGGGGAAUAUUGCACAAUGGGCGCGAGCCUGAUGCAGCCAUGCCGCGUGUGUGAAGAAGGCCUUCGGGUUGUAAAGCACUUUCAGCGGGGAGGAAAGCGUUAAGGUUAAUAACCUUGGCGAUUGACGUUACCCGCAGAAGAAGCACCGGCUAACUCCGUGCCAGCAGCCGCGGUAAUACGGAGGGUGCAAGCGUUAAUCGGGAUUACUAGGCGUAAAGCGCACGCAGGCGGUCUGUCAAGUCGGAUGUGAAAUCCCCGGGCUCAACCUGGGAACUGCAUUCGAAACUGGCAGGCUAGAGUCUUGUAGAGGGGGGUAGAAUUCCAGGUGUAGCGGUGAAAUGCGUAGAGAUCUGGAGGAAUACCGGUGGCGAAGGCGGCCCCCUGGAUAAAGACUGACGCUCAGGUGCGAAAGCGUGGGGAGCAAACAGGAUUAGAUACCCGCGUAGUC